rnacentral:rRNA from 1 species
UACGUAGGGUGCGAGCGUUGUCCGGAAUUAUUGGGCGUAAAGAGCUCGUAGGCGGUGUGUCACGUCGGCCGUGAAAACCUGCAGCUUAACUGUGGGCGUGCGGUCGAUACGGGCAUCACUGGAGUUCGGCAGGGGAGACUGGAAUUCCUGGUGUAGCGGUGAAAUGCGCAGAUAUCAGGAGGAACACCGGUGGCGAAGGCGGGUCUCUGGGCAUGUCCUGACGCUGAGGAGCGAAAGUGUGGGGAGCGAACAGG